rnacentral:rRNA from 1 species
AUUGAACGCUGGCGGCAGGCCUAACACAUGCAAGUCGAGCGGAUGAAGGGAGCUUGCUCCUGGAUUCAGCGGCGGACGGGUGAGUAAUGCCUAGGAAUCUGCCUGGUAGUGGGGGAUAACGUCCGUAAACGGGCGCUAAUACCGCAUACGUCCUGAGGGAGAACCUGGGGGAUCUUCGGACCUCACGCUAUCAGAUGAGCCUAGGUCGGAUUAGCUAGUUGGUGGGGUAAAGGCCUACCAAGGCGACGAUCCGUAACUGGUCUGAGAGGAUGAUCAGUCACACUGGAACUGAGACACGGUCCAGACUCCUACGGGAGGCAGCAGUGGGGAAUAUUGGGCAAUGGGCGAAAGCCUGAUGCAGCCAUGCCGCGUGUGUGAAGAAGGUCUUCGGAUUGUAAAGCACUUUAAGUAGGGAGGAAGGGCAGUAAGUUAAUACCUUGCUGUUUUGACGGUACCAACAGAAUAAGCACCGGCUAACUUCGUG